UGACUAUUGGCGCCUCGUCCAGUCAUUUUAGUCACUUUUACUGCUGUUGCUUUCUAAGUGCUUGCGUGAUGGUACCCGACCUAUGGGAAGUGGUGCUUCAUAAAAUGUUUCCUUGUGGUGGUSACCUUAUGGUGUACCGCUGCGGCCUAAUGGCCCAUGCGGCGUUUCCUCGUGGUGCUUGCACGCUUCUGUGCAGGUGCUAUCAGCGCAACCUCGCUUGGGCUGUUGGUCUCGGAUGUUGCUCACGAUGAAGGGUCAUGGCCCUUUUGGAUGCCUUGACCCGACCAUUAAGCUGCUCUCCGAAUUUGAGAAAACCCGGAACAGGUGUUGCCUCUACCUCUCCGCAGUUAGUGGUAGGAUACGCAACAUUCUGCGCCGAUCCUCAAGCAAGUAGGAUGAGCAGCUCCUUGUCGCGACAACUGGCUCACCUUGCCUCAGCCUGGCCGCUUAAUAGGACGGGCGGGCAAGGACCGAUGCUGGACGUCAACGAGGACGUGCUACCUGGUUGAUCCUGCCAGUAGUC
rnacentral:misc_RNA from 1 species